UACGUAGGGUCCGAGCGUUGUCCGGAAUUACUGGGCGUAAAGAGCUCGUAGGUGGUUUGUCGCGUUGUUCGUGAAAACUCACAGCUCAACUGUGGGCGUGCGGGCGAUACGGGCAGACUAGAGUACUGCAGGGGAGACUGGAAUUCCUGGUGUAGCGGUGGAAUGCGCAGAUAUCAGGAGGAACACCGGUGGCGAAGGCGGGGUCUCUGGGCAGUAACUGACGCUGGAGGAGCGAA
rnacentral:rRNA from 1 species